rnacentral:rRNA from 1 species
UACGUAGGGGGCGAGCGUUGUCCGGAUUUACUGGGCGUAAAGCGCGUGUAGGCGGCGCCUUAAGUCAGGUGUGAAAGCCCGGGGCUCAACCCCGGAGUGCCGCCUGAAACUGGGGUGCUUGAGGACGGAAGAGGGGAGUGGAAUUCCUGGUGUAGCGGUGAAAUGCGUAGAUAUCAGGAGGAACACCCGUGGCGAAGGCGGCUCCCUGGUCCGUUUCUGACGCUGAGACGCGAAAGCGCGGGGAGCGAACGGG